rnacentral:miRNA from 1 species
UAUGAACCUUGCACUGGAAGA